AUUGAACGCUGGCGGCAGGCCUAACACAUGCAAGUCGAGCGAGUGGCGGACGGGUGAGUAAUGUCUGGGAAACUGCCUGAUGGCGGGGGAUAACUACUGGAAACGGUAGCUAAUACCGCAUACCAUCGGAUGUGCCCAGAUGGGAUUAGCUAGUAGGUAGGGUAAAGGCUCACUUAGGCGACGAUCCCUAGCUGGUCUGAGAGGAUGACCAGCCACACUGGAACUGUGACACGGCCCAGACUCCUACGGGAGGCAGCAGUGGGGAAUAUUCGGCAAUGGGCGAAAGUCUGAUGGAGCAAUGCCGCGUGUGUGAAGAAGGCUUUCGGGUUGUAAAGUUCUGUUGUUGGGGAAGCGUUAUCCGCACAGGAAGCCCCGGCUAACUGCGUGCCAGCAGCCGCGGUAAUAC
rnacentral:rRNA from 1 species